rnacentral:rRNA from 1 species
UGGAAACAGGAGAGUGCUUUCAUUAGAGAGAACCUGGAGACAGGUGCUGCAUGGCUGUCGUCAGCUCGUGUCGUGAGAUGUUGGGUUAAGUCCCGCAACGAGCGCAACCCUUGCCUUUAGUUGCCAGCAGUUCGGCUGGGCACUCUAAAGGGACUGCCGGUGUCAAACCGGAGGAAGGUGGGGAUGACGUCAAGUCCUCAUGGCCUUUAUGGCCAGGGCUACACACGUACUACAAUGGCCGGUACAAAGGGCAGCGACAUUGCGAGAUGGAGCGAAUCCCGAAAAGCCGGUCUCAGUCCGGAUUGGAGUCUGCAACUCGACUCCAUGAAGUUGGAAUCGCUAGUAAUCGUGGAUCAGCAUGCCACGGUGAAUACGUUCCCGGGCCUU